CAGGCGUCUUCUUUGGGUGUGA
rnacentral:miRNA from 1 species